rnacentral:rRNA from 1 species
CCUACGGGAGGCUGCAGUGGGGAAUAUUGCACAAUGGGGGAAACCCUGAUGCAGCGACGCCGCGUGAGUGAAGAAGUAAUUCGUUACGUAAAGCUCUAUCAGCAGGGAAGAAAUACUGACCUUACGGUCAGCAGACGGUACCUGAGUAAGAAGCCCCGGCUAACUACGUGCCAGCAGCCGCGGUAAUACGUAGGGGGCAAGCGUUAUCCGGAAUUACUGGGUGUAAAGGGAGCGUAGACGGUGAUGCAAGUCUGGCGUGAAAGGCGGGGGCCCAACCCCCGGACUGCUCUGGAAACUGUGUGACUUGAGUGCAGGAGAGGUAAGCGGAAUUCCUAGUGUAGCGGUGAAAUGCGUAGAUAUUAGGAGGAACACCAGUGGCGAAGGCGGCUUACUGGACUGUAACUGACGUUGAGGCUCGAAAGCGUGGGGAGCAAACAGGAUUAGAUACCCUGGUAGUC